ACAUAGACUGGCUCUCAGCUCAAGAGGCUUUUCUAGGUCACUCUCUGUGUUGCUGUCUCUUUCUCCAGCCAGCCUUCUCUGCUUCACGUUUCUUUCAUGUUUCUGACUCAUAGACCUGUUGUUUGACUCAUACUAUCCCUGGGAGUCAGGAUUCAAGGUUUAACAAUAUGGGCAGCAGGAGCACCACUGUCUGCUGUGUCCCUAAGGCUGACGUUGACUCUGAUCUUGCUGUGCAAAGGGACUUCCUAUUCUGCCUGCCCUCCAGGUUCCUUACAAUAAAGGAGACGCUUAGACUCUUCUGAACCAGGGUCUUGCUGAGUAAUCCACAUUGGACUCUAACUCUCAGGAAUGGCUCCCGUCUCAGCUUCCAGAGAGCUAUAAUGACAGAGGCGUGCCACCAUGCUGAGUUUAAUCUUUAACUCUUUUUUUUUUAUUUUAAACAUCGAUUGUUAAAGAAUUGUAUGUGUAUGUGUGUCUGCUACUCUGAUUAUGUACCAUGUUGGUUAAAGUGCCCAUAGAUCAAUAGCUGUUGGAUCUUCUGGAACUUGGGUUACAGGUAGUGGUGAGCCACCCAACGUGGGUUCUGGGAACUGAACCCCAUUCUCUCAGUCCCCAAACCACCUCUUAAGCCCCUUAGCAUUUGACUCUUCGUCUUCACCCAUAGUCUUCCUCACCUAUGCUGCAGAUGGCCACAUCCUCCCAGAUCCUGGCCAAUCCACUUCUCCUCAACUCUUCAUUUGCUCUCACACCACAUCCAACCCAACUGGCAAUGGUGCUGCUGCCACCAAUACAGUCGGCCCUGUCCCAUCACCCUACCUCCACUAAGGAAAGCCUUACAGUGUUGUCAAGGCCCAGCCUCAGGUCACCUCUUUAAGGUUCCCUCUGCUACAGCCACCUGAUCUGUGUGCCGAAUCCUAAUGCCUCAGCAGCUUCUGCUUCAGAGCUCUUGCCUGUUUCCCCCUUCAUCCUGACAAACUUCCUGCAGAUGAACAAUUAACUCCUCCUCAGGCCCUCCUCUCCCAAGCUUUGUUUAUUACCUACUAAAAUUGUAAUUAAGGUGCCAUGCCCAGCAUUUCUUGUCCUCCUUCCAAGGAAGGAAGAUACAGAUUGGUCAUUGUCAUUCCUAAUCCAAAAGAAAGAAA
rnacentral:lncRNA from 1 species